AAAGGAAUAGACGGGGGCCCGCACAAGCGGAGGAACAUGUGGUUUAAUUCGAUGAUACGCGAGGAACCUUACCCGGGCUUGAAAUGGAGUGGAAUAAAUUGGAAACAGUUUAGUCAGCAAUGACCGCUUUGUAGGUGCUGCAUGGUUGUCGUCAGCUCGUGCCGUGAGGUGUCGGCUUAAGUGCCAUAACGAGCGCAACCCUUAUCGAUAGUUACCAUCGGGUAAAGCCGGGGACUCUAUUGAGACUGCCACCGUAAGGUGUGAGGAAGGUGGGGAUGACGUCAAAUCAGCACGGCCCUUACGUCCGGGGCGACACACGUGUUACAAUGGGGGGUACAGAGGGUUGCUACCACGCGAGUGGAUGCUAAUCUCACAAAUCCUCUCUCAGUUCGGAUCGGAGUCUGCAACUCGACUUCGUGAAGCUGGAUUCGCUAGUAAUCGCGCAUCAGCCAUGGCGCGGUGAAUACGUUCCCGGGCCUUGUACACACCGCCCGU
rnacentral:rRNA from 1 species